rnacentral:tRNA from 1 species
AGGAUAGUAGUUAAUUAUAACAUUUGGGUUGCAUUCAAAAAGUAUUGAUUUUUCAAUUUAUCUU